UACAGAGGGUGCAAGCGUUGUUCGGAAUUACUGGGCGUAAAGCGCGUGUAGGUGGCGAUGUAAGUCGGGUGUGAAAUCCCUCGCUACACGAGGAAGUGCACUCGAUACUGUGUCGCUUGAGUGUUGGAGGGGAUGGCGGAAUUCCCGUAGUGUGAGCGGUGAAAUGCGUAGAUAUCUGGAGGAACACCGGUGGCGAAGGCGCAUCCUGGACCGGCAUUGACGCUGAGGCGCGAAAGCCAGGGGAGCAAACGGG
rnacentral:rRNA from 1 species